UUCCGUUUGAUCCAUUGAUGAUCUAGCGUGUUUCUUUGAGUUUUACUCUUUCAAGCAUCCCUUUUGUUCUGACCCAUUCAACAUUCAGAUAAGCCGGUUCUUGCAAAAGCUGUCGGAAUCAGUGUCUGAGAUCAACAGCACAAUACGGCACUACUGAAUAAGGAGCCUUCUACACUAAUAACAACAUCCGUGUUUGUAUCCCUGUAACAGAAGUGUCAAUGUCCUUCGAGAGUGGAUCCUCGGUGACCCUUACCUUCCAGAUGCCUUUCCCAGUCAUGCACAACAGAGACAGAGCCAAUCCAUAGCCAGUCAUUUAGCAGUCAGCCAAUCCAUAGCCAGUCAUUUAGCAGUCAGCCAAUCCAUAGCCAGUCAUUUAGCAGUCAGCCAAUCCAUAGCCAGUCAUUUAGCAGUCAGCCAAUCCAUAGCCAGUCAUUUAGCAGUCAGCCAAUCCAUAGCCAGUCCUCUAGCCGUCAGCCAAUCCAUAGCCAGUCCUCUAGCAGUUAGCCAAUCCAUAGCCAGUCCUCUAGCAGUCAGCCAACCCAUAGCCAGUCCUCAGCCAUCUAUGCCCACGACGGCGAGUCCAGAGAAAACGUUGCCUUCAACUUUCUGACGACUCACACCCCUGCCAUGUUACUCUGUGUCUGCACCUACCAUCAACAGUACCUGGCUAUCAUCGGUCAGUGAUCUCAAUCGGUGUAACGGCAUUCAGAGGAAGAAGGUGAGGACCAAGAUGCAGCGUGAUUGACAAAGACAUCAACCAAAAAUACAACCUUCUUCUGACAUGAAGAUGAACACACUACGAUCUCUGACUUUAGGUAAAGUCACAGGUACAACAUCAGCAGGACAUGCUGGUUUGGAUGAGGAAGUGCUUAGGGCAGGAUCCAAGGGUUUCAUUGGCUGCCUGUCGUCUGUCCAGGUCAAUCAUUUGACACCGCUGAAGAGUCGUGGAAGCUCAUUGGUCCAUGUUCUUGGCAAUCUAGUUGAAUCGAACUGUGGAGCCUUGGCUGAUAGUACAACUUCACAAUCAGCAUCUGGUGAGUUUAAUAGCAUUGAUGUGAAUCAUGUUCGGCUUCACAAUAUGGAUUUUAUUUAUGUAAUUUUAUUAGCAUACAGUGCAUUCGGAAAGUAUUGAGUUUUUCCACAUUGUUACAUUACAGCCUUAUUCGAAGAUGGAUUAAAUAGUCCCCCCCCCCUCAUCAAUCUACACACAAUACCCCAUAAUGAC